CCAGAAUAAAAUUAAUAAUCAGGUGCUCUUCAUUAUGUUUUUGUGUCUCUGAAAUCCAGUAAUCAAAUUAUGAAUUGGGUUUUCGCCACAUUAAGUUCAAAGAAUCAAGAGCCAUGGGGCGCUUUCACGAGUACAGUGGAAUUAGCAAUCAAAGCCGCAAGGAGUGUCUAAAAUCCAAGAACGGCCAAAUGAAAUGACCUGGUUACGGUAUUUUACAUGCAAGAAAACAUCUUCUUAACCUACUCAUUUCUGUUUCACUCGAGACAAAAAACUGACUGAUGGGUUAUACCAUGUUAAGCCGUUAAUCGGGCUGGGUGAAGGAUAAGCUAAUCACCAGCUUCAAAACUUAGACCUGCUGCUACCAUCUUCACAUCCAGCCUGCUAUGCCACCAGUUCUUCUUCUCAGCCACUGCCAUUUCUGUUGUUAAAAGUGAUAGGCCAAAACAUCAAAUGUAACCACAGUUAGGGGGAGAAUGAGCAUGGGUGCAUGAACACAUGCAUGCUUUCAACAAACAGAUGAUAAUGAAAAGAAAAAAGGACUACUGAAUUAUAAAUUUACUACGGAAGGAUUGUCUGAAAAUAUUUACAACCAGAACAAGGAGCUCUAUCUAAAGCACAAUUUCACCCAUCAGGAGCAUCACUAGCCUUCACAAAUCGACCCUUCACUCGCUUCCUAGAAUCAGCUCUUGCCUUUCUUGAUUCAUAACGUAUGUGGUUAUCAUAUCUUCGGGUUUUUUUCUUCUCUUUGUAACGCUGCAUGGCAGUGCCUCUGUUCUUUGCCAGCAGCUCAGUAUCAACCUCCGUUGCAGGCAUUGUUCUCACACUGUCACCUCUAACAAGAAUUUUCUGUUCCAUGAACUGGACAUCUUUGCCACCACUGCAGCUUUUCAGCUUACCAAAAGUUGAGCCUGAUGAAUGCCUUGCUAUAGGUAGGUUGUUGCUCUCAGAUGUUGCUGGACCCUGGCUGGCCGUUGGGUUAUUUGAGUUGUUAUUAAACAAUGUCAUAUCAUCAUGUGCAAUAAGGCAAUCCAGAUGGUACAAAUCUCCCAACAUUUUUGUGUUACUCAAUGAAGUUUCUUUCAUAAGUUCACCAAUAUUCUUGAUCAUGAACCCUGCAUCACUAACUUCUAACUGGUCAUAUUCUUCUUGAGUCCUCAAUCGUCCUAAAUUAAAAUCCCAUAUCUGGGUACCCUGGGCACUGGCAUUGCCACCCCACAUUAUAUUGUCGCCAACUACACGACCACUAGGUUUCAGAUCCAUCGGUGACGGCAACAUGAUGAAGGAUGUGAAAGGCGCCUGUUCCUGCAACGGUUGCUGAGGAACUGUAGAACUCGCACCGUUAGCGGCAGUAACUCCAUCAUUUCCAUUCACAAAAUCAGGUGCCUCCACAUUCCCGUGCCAACCGUUCCUACUCGGCGUUUCCGGCAUCAAAUUCUCUCCGCCACCACCGUCGCCGGUAAUCAUAUUUCUUUUCAACAAACCCAUCAACUGCUUAAAUAUCACUUGUUUGUACUUCCCACAACUCGGAAUCUGCUUCCUCUUCGACAUCGUCACCAUCUCUACAUUGCUCCCAUUCCCAUAAACCAUGGCUCUAUCAUUAGGCACCAUCGAAUCCAUAUAGCUCACUCCACCACUAGAUCUACACACCCAUGGCUCGAUUUGCAUCAACAUAUCCUGGACCCCACAGCCGCUCCAGCUCUGAAUCAACGGCACGGAAGACUCCUUGUCCAAUUUCUUCUCCUGAAGAUCGAAUCCCCAGAUUGAGGCGAGCUCUAGCGCAGAUGGACAUCCAGAGAAUCCUUCAAUUGGUGUUCGAUCGUGGGAAGCGGAAACAGAGCAACUACCAUGGGCAUCCCAAUCGCAUUCCCGGCAGAGCACCAAAUUAUCAGUCUCGCAACGAACCGAAACGGGCUCGGAACUGCAGUUAUCGCAGAUCUGGGAACGGAAAUGCUUCCGGGAGAGAAGGUUAGCGGAGUGCACAUGCUGGUCACAGAAGAGGCAAAGCUUGGCAGAAUCCGCUCGGCAGUAGAGAACAGCUACCUGGUCGCUGCAGAAAUCGCAGGAAACGGUCCGUUUAGUAUCCGAUUUGGGGCUCCCCAUGUUAGAUGUAGCUUGAAAAGCCCUAGAAAUGAAGAGAAAGGUUAUGCUAUGAGACUGAGAGACAUUUUUCGCCUUUUGGUACAGUUUCUGGGAAGUAGCGGCUGUUAAUUGGAUGGAAUCAAGGAAAGACGCAUUCUGACAAAUUUGUAAAAAAUGGAGCCCUUUUCUGCAAAAUAGCAAA
rnacentral:misc_RNA from 1 species